rnacentral:rRNA from 1 species
GUGAACCUGCGGAUGGAUCAUCGU